rnacentral:snRNA from 1 species
GUGAUCACUUCAGCAGCACCUGUACCAAAAUUGGAACGAUACUGAGAUUAUUAAUUAGCAUGGCUUCUGUGCAAGGAUGAGAUGAAAAUUCGUGAAGUGUUCCGUGUUUUU